rnacentral:rRNA from 1 species
GACGGAGGAUGCAAGUGUUAUCCGGAAUCACUGGGCGUAAAGCGUCUGUAGGUGGUUUAAAAAGUCUAUUGUUAAAAAUUGAAGCUUAACUUCAAAGAUGCAAUGGAAACUUUUAAACUUGAGUAUGGUAGGGGUAGAGGGAAUUUCCAGGUGGAGCGGUGAAAUGCGUAGAUAUUGGAAAGACCACCAAUGGCGAAGGCACUCUACUGGGCCAUUACUGACACUGAGAGACGAAAGCUAGGGGAGC